UGCCAGCAGCCGCGGUAAUACGGAGGGUGCAAGCGUUGUUCGGAUUUACUGGGCGUAAAGGGCGCGUAGGCGGUCCAUCAAGUUAAGGGUGAAAUCCCUAGGCUCAACCUAGGUGUUGCUCUUAAAACUGUUGGACUAGAGAAUGUUAGAGGCAGAUGGAAUUCCUGGUGUAGAGGUGAAAUUCGUAGAUAUCAGGAGGAACACCGAUGGCGAAGGCAUCUCUCUGGGCCGAUAUUGACGCUGAGGCGCGAAGGCGUGGUAGCGAACGGGAUUAGAUA
rnacentral:rRNA from 1 species